AGUGAACGCUGGCGGUAGGCCUAACACAUGCAAGUCGAACGGCAGCACAGUAAGAGCUUGCUCUUACGGGUGGCGAGUGGCGGACGGGUGAGGAAUACAUCGGAAUCUACUUUUUCGAGGGGGAUAACGUAGGGAAACUUACGCUAAUACCACAUACGACCUACGGGUGAAAGCAGGGGAUCUUCGGACCUUGCGCGAUUGAAUGAGCCGAUGUCGGAUUAGCUAGUUGGCGGGGUAAAGGCCCACCAAGGCGACGAUCCGUAGCUGGUCUGAGAGGAUGAUCAGCCACACUGGAACUGAGACACGGUCCAGACUCCUACGGGAGGCAGCAGUGGGGAAUAUUGGACAAUGGGCGCAAGCCUGAUCCAGCCAUACCGCGUGGGUGAAGAAGGCCUUCGGGUUGUAAAGCCCUUUUGUUGGGAAAGAAAAGCAGCAGGUUAAUACCCCGCUGUUCUGACGGUACCCAAAGAAUAAGCACCGGCUAACUUCGUG
rnacentral:rRNA from 1 species